rnacentral:rRNA from 1 species
GACGUAGGGGGCCAGCGUUGUUCGGAAUUACUGGGUGUAAAGGGUUCGUAGGCGGUGCGGCAAGUCGGGAGUGAAAUCUCUGGGCUUAACCCAGAGGCUGCUUCCGAAACUGCUGUGCUUGAGUGUGGGAGAGGCGCGUGGAAUUGCAGGUGUAGCGGUGAAAUGCGUAGAUAUCUGCAGGAACACCCGUGGCGAAAGCGGCGCGCUGGACCACUACUGACGCUGAAUGACGAAAGCUAGGGGAGCAAACAGG